rnacentral:rRNA from 1 species
UACGUGGGGAGCAAGCGUUGUCCGGAAUCAUUGGGCGUAAAGCGCGCGUAGGCGGCCUCAUAAGUCCGUUGUGAAAGUCAAAGGCUCAACCUUUGAAAGCCGAUGGAUACUGUGAGGCUAGAGUCCGGAAGAGGCGAGUGGAAUUCCUGGUGUAGCGGUGGAAUGCGCAGAUAUCAGGAGGAACACCAAUAGCGAAGGCAGCUCGCUGGGACGGUACUGACGCUAAGGCGCGAAAGCGUGGGGAGCGAACAGG